AUUCUUUUUACCAUCUUAUUUUCUUCAAUAACUGUUUAUUGAUUUUUUUUUCUUUAUUCAAACAAGACCUUAAACUUAUUCCAUUAGUUAAAACCAAGUUAUUUCUCAUAUAACUGCAUAUUGAAAUGUUUUAUUCAAACAGGGCCUUAAAUUUCUCCCAUAAAUUGAAAUUAACUUGUGUCAUGAGUAGUGAUUUUGGUGGUGUGAGUUCAUUUGCAUUAGUAAUUUAUUUACUCAGAGUGGUUGCUGCUAUUCAUGCGCGUGAAUUUUUGUAAUGGAUGCAGGUAUUCCUUCACCAAGGCUCUCUGCAUAGCCUUUGUAAUGACCUUCUUUUCCGUAUUUGAUGUUCCUGUCUUUUGGCCCAUAUUACUCUGUUACUGGUUUGUUCUCUUUGUCCUUACAAUGAGGCGCCAAAUUGCACACAUGAUCAAAUACAAAUAUAUUCCCUUCAACUUGGGGAAGCAGAAGUAUGGCAGUAAGAAAUCUUCUGCAGGUAGCAGUGGCUCUCGGGCAGACUGAUACUUGGCUCUCAUGAUUUGAAUGUCUGCUUAGGUUAGGUUUUGAGAACAUUCAGGCUAGUUAAUUUCCCCUCUUUUUUCGUAAAAACUUGUAUUCAUGGCAUUAUGGAUGCCGGUAUGCACAGUGUGCAGUUACAGAAAAUCUUAAACGUCCACUCGUUGUUAUAUUAUACAUAUUAUACCUGAAGUGAAGAUGUGCUAAUAUUGGCAGUGAAUUUCAUUGUCACUACACAUGUAUUCAUUGGAUUUUCUUGUAAAUCUCAGCCUGUAUUGUUAAUUUUUUA